AGCAUGUCUUGGUGGGCCGUCAAAAGGUGCUUGAAGCACACUAAAUUCUCCAAUAGUUUGUUUUCCUGUGAAGAUAAACUCUAUUUCAUCAUAGAAUGGAAUUGGAACGUUGUAGUGCUUGGCUCUCUUGUGGGCAUUCUAUAUUUGACAUAGAAUAGCAUGUCUUAUUAGUUACCCAGUGUGUAAUAAAAGGCAUGUGCCUAACAAAACAUUUUACACAUACAUACUUAGAUUCCGUCUUCACAAUCUCUAUUUCAUCAUGGAUUAUCUUCUUCUGGACACCAUCACAACUCUUGUUCCACUGCAUUGUUGCCCUUUCAUGACUUGUCUUGUUGAAUGUUUGAAGGUGGGUUCGACCUUCGCUUAUGGUCAUGGAAGAGGCGACGAUGCCAAAACUCUUGCAGAGCUCGGAUUCCAGGUACAUAUGAUAUGAAUGUGAUGUAUUGCGCUACUUCAGAUCUACACUUUUGGCCAGUGCACAAAAUAUUUAUCAAUGCUGCUUCGUUCUGCAGAUCGGUGAUUACUUGAGCGUCGCAAUCAUGUAGACGGUGCCCGCACCAGAUGUAAUUGCUGUGAUGUCAAAAGGGCUCUGGUUGCAACAGUAAGGCAUGAUUCUCUGUUAGCACUAGGAACUGCAACCAGAAUUGUCUGUAAUAUUUAUCAAUGCUACUUCAGAAUUGUCUGUUAGCACUAGGAACUGCAACCAGAACUGUCUGUUAGCACUAGGAAUUCUCUUUAUGAACAGUAAAAGAAC
rnacentral:lncRNA from 1 species